UCCCAGGGAAACUUUGAGAUUGAGAUAACCCUGGACUUUACCACCAAAGCCGCAGUGAAGCCCUGAUCUCACAAAUCAGAAGGAAAGGGAAAAAAAUGAAUAAAUGCCCGGAACUCCCUGUAGAAUCAGCACAGGCCAAGGCAUGACACUGGCUUUCGACUCCUUCCCAUUGUUUAACUAGCUGAUGAUAUAAAAAGACAGCGCAAAACCAGUUCCCGAUUCCUGAAAGAGGAAGUCGAAGUCUUGGCUCCGCGAGACGUGACCUGAUCUGAAUAUUUGACGUUCGUUCAACCAAUUUUGUCUAUUUGUUUAGUUAAGUGCGUUUGCCACGAUGCAAAUAGAUGCCAGUUCUAAGACGGCUAAAGGUACCAAACGGCGGGUACACGGGCUGAGCCUUUCAUCCUCGAGCAAACAUUAUCCAAAGCAUUGAAUUUGAGUCAACAUCACUUAUGGGAGUUUUGGAUGCUGAACAGAACAAUCAUCUCGUUGGCGCUCUUUUCCAGAUCUCGGCAGAACUUUUUAAACUCUUGAGCUCUGACACAACUUCUGAGACUUGUCUGUAUUUGUUCCGCAGCUGGGCUGUUACUGGUCCAAGAGCAAGGGCCAACUCCAGCUUCACACUGACACGGCAGUCUAGAAAUAAGAUGACAAAAUGUAUCUUUUUGUGGCUCCACACUCAGGAUUCUUCCUAGUUAAGCCCGCCAGAGCUUGAUACAUUGUUGCCAAGAGUUUAACUUUCAAUUUCCCAUGACACUUUGCCUACUUCAUGUCAACUUUUCAAGAAAACUGUGUGGCAGCAAACCUCAAAGUAGAAGGAACCGAGGACUGGAGGAGAGUAGAAGCUUCCAUGUUGUCAGCCAUAUGUCUGCCUCCAGGGCAGGAGGAUAGAAGUGAAGAGCCGAGGAAUGUCAGCUCCUGAAUGACUGUGUGGCUGGAAUGUGACCUGAUAAUUAUUUCUUAAGAAAGGUGUUUUUUCAAGACCAGCUCAAAGUGGAACCAGUGAUGCCCCUUUUUACAUUAUGAUUUUAUUAUCAUUUUAAAUCUGUAUUUUUGGAGUUUGUGAUAAUAUGUUUAUUACGGUAUAUGGUGUAUUAUAUCUAUCUCAUUUUCUAUCUCUCAAUGUAUCUAUCUAUCUACUGUAUUUUUAUGGACUGAUAAAUUGCUUCCAGUGGAGUCUAAAUAUCUCAGGUCAUAAUGAGAAAGUGGAUGGGAAGGAUGUUAGUUCAGAUGAUCAUAAAAGGUAAACAUGCGCUCGCUUUUAACGACGUGUAGAAAACGUUGCGCUCAUCCGUUGCAGGAUUUAUUACCUCCUGUCCCCAACAACAAACACUGACCCCAGUUCUGUCUUUUCCAUCCUCUUUUUUUAAUGCUCGCAGAUGAUAUCUUUCAUUUUUAUUAACUGGUUUUUAUGCUUGCUUUGGUAAUACCGGCAUUUAAAAUAUUGUGUUUUACGAGGAUUGCUGUGGAACAUUAAA